CAAUGCAGCAAAGCAUCUUAUACACAGUGGUUGAUAGACAGUUGCGAUAGCCAAUCAGAUCACAAGUUGUUUUUCAGCAAGGCCUUCUAGCUGGCCUAAGGCAGAUAUAUAUUGUUAUGCUAUGAACUAGGUAACAUUAGAACUCCAUUACCCAGCAUGCCACAGUAGUGAAGAGCAUGCCAGGAGCCCAGUUUAGGUUGUUGAUUGCACACAUGCCGGCAGCUGGAUGUUAUUGAUGAGCAUGCUGUGGCGUAAACUUUUAAGAACUCAGCCAACACGCCUCGUCUGCAUCUUUUAUGAUUAGGCAAGACAACACAAAUAUUUGCAAUUUUAAGAAGGAUAUUUAAUUUAAAGAGAAACUACAUCUUGUGAGACCAUGUCGGCCAACCCUGGAAGCUCGAAUGGGUUCUACAAACUGACGUUUCUACAUGGCAGAUGUGAUUGAGGCCCAUCGGGACGCGCUGCUGUCGGACACAAAGCUCCCUGUGCCAUCGAAUACCUCUGGCCGGCUGAUAUCCUGCCCCUGGACCCGGUGGGACUUACGUGGAAUUGAGCAUGGCACACUCCUGGAAGAGAAAACCAUCUUCAUCCAGUUUGUACUGAACGUCUCCCAAACGGGUGAUUCUGUCUCUGAGGUCGUAACGAAGAGGCGUCAACCGACCGCUGUUUCCAGGAUUCAGCAAAUGUA